rnacentral:tRNA from 1 species
GCCUUCGUGGUGUAGUAGUCAGUACGCUCGACGCUUAAACGAGAUGUCCAUGGUUCGACUCCUGGCGAAGGCG